rnacentral:rRNA from 1 species
UGAGGAAUAUUGGUCAAUGGGCGCAAGCCUGAACCAGCCAUCCCGCGUGCAGGAAGACGGCCCUAUGGGUUGUAAACUGCUUUUCCAGGGGGAGAAUUUUUCUGUCGUGACAGGAAUUGACGGUACCCUGGGAAUAAGCAUCGGCUAACUCCGUGCCAGCAGCCGCGGUAAUACGGAGGAUGCGAGCGUUAUCCGGAUUUAUUGGGUUUAAAGGGUGCGUAGGUGGAUUGAUAAGUCAGUGGUGAAAAACUGCAGCUUAACUGUAGAAUUGCCGUUGAUACUGUCAGGCUUGAGUGUGGUCAAGGUAAGCGGAAUGUGUAAUGUAGCGGUGAAAUGCGUAGAUAUUACACAGAACACCGAUUGCGAAGGCAGCUUACUGGGCCAUUACUGACGCUGAUGCACGAAAGCGUGGGGAUCGAACAG